rnacentral:lncRNA from 1 species
UUUUGAAUGCAUGGGGAAGUUUCUGUCAGUCAAAAGUUCUAUCCAUUCAUAGCGAAAAGUGCCACUGAAUGGUCUCGCCAAGAAUGGAUGCACAUAACAUUCCAGGCCGCAACUACAGUGGUAAAAAUUCCAGGGACGGUUGGGUAGAAGAGACGUGUCCUUUCAUAAGCACCCAAUUACUAUAACGGUAAGAAACUUUUGAACCGCCUGAGAAUCUUAAAUAAAAAAUAAUAAAAUAAUUUGUUUUCAAAAAGUCAAUACAUAAGGUGCUAGGACCUCCAUCCUCCAUAAAACCUGGUUAGUGGUUGCCCCUCGGGCCCAAACCCAAGUUCAGGGAGAAGCUUGUAAACCCACUAAAGGACUCAUAAAUGACCAAGCUUGUAAACCACUAAAGGAUUUUUGAUCACUACCAAGUUUGUUAGGGAUUUUUCCUUGAAACAUCUUGAAGAUUUUAAAGAUCGGAGAGAGGGACAUGAUACGCUUUAAUGCUACACGACUUUGGACCAUUACAAAGUUUAUUAAGGAUGUUUCCUUAAAAUAUCUGGAAGAUUUUAAAGUUAGGAGAGAGAGGAGAUUCAUAAUGUAGAUGCAAAUGUGUUGUAUAUUCUUCUGAUCUAGAGGAGAAAGGACAUCCCAAUCAUUAUUCCUCCCUUGAAUAAGAAUAUCAUCUUUUUAACUCACUAAUAGCUACUGAACCACAAGCCAAGUAAAAAUUUGUUUUUUCCACAAUUUGACACCAAGGCAGACUUAAUAUUAUGAUUUAUGUGCAUCCUUUAACAUUUCAAUUUGAGAGAAUCAUUCUUAUCCGUAACCUGAAUCCACUCCUCAAUUUUCAUUUUUAGUAGACUAUGUUGCUCCUCUUCCCAAGUAGAAAGACAUCUCCUAAAUAAUAGGGUUCAUUUAGAAAAAGCUGCUACUAUUAUCCACCUCUCCUUCUCUAUGAAUGACUGUAGGUUAGAUAGCAUAAACAAUCAAGGGAAAGUUUCUUUCGAAGAUAAGAGUGAAGAAAAAACGAUUGGGCAAGUGAAGAAGACACAAUGAAGUUGAUAGGAUUACCGAAGCGGGGCGGUACCAGGCAGGGUCUAUAGCCCUCGAUCUCUCACUUCCAAAAAAUUAUAAAAUUUACACUAGAAUUUUUUUUUACACUUUAAUCCCCUGAAAUAUAUUUAUUUUAUUUUACACUUUACCCCCGACCUAAAAUUCUGGCUCAGCCUCUAUACCGAAGCGUUGUUUGUUGUGGCUGGAACGAAUAGAAGGAAUUCUGGAGGAGUGAAAAAAGCGCUUGGUUUUACGUGUCUAAGUGAAUAAUUUUUUCUCAAAAAUAAAAUCACAACUUUAAUAUUCCUUUCUUUAUUAGACCAAGGGCAUUUUGAGAAUUGGAAAGUAGACAAACAUCUUUCAUUUUAAUGGUAAUAUAGAUUUGACUAGACCAUGGUGAAAAUUUUAAGCCAUGAGGGAUUUGUGUUUUAGAGUAACAAUUUAUUCUGUUAUUUUUGUUGAACUAAUUGCAGGUCGAUGAAAAGUCUCCUAGUAUUAUCCAAUUGGCUUUGAAGGAUGCUGUCAAUAUCAUUCAAGAGGUGGAUCGUGACUCAUUUUUUGCCUUAGGAUUAUUGAUUGUAAAGUGAGGCAACAGUAUUUGCCAUGGUCUGAUGCCGACGCAAAAAGUUCUUUCAACCCCACCAAUUGCCACCCUAGUCCUUCCGUGGCAAAGAAUUUUAACGGCAGAGAGGUGACUAUUUGUGUCGGCAUGUCCUUGAGGGCCUAACAAUUUUUUUUUUGAUAUUUCUAGUGGAUACGAAUGAGUUACAACUUACGAGAAAAUUACUGGGUUCUAAAAUUUUAAAGAUGGGAUAUACAUGCAUAUGUUUUCAAGGAAAUGGAUAGUAGGCGAAAAAGAGCAGGGACUAAAAGCUCCUAAUCUCUUACGUUCCUAUUAAAUUAAUUGUACUAAUAGUUUGCACAAAUAUACUAUUUUUGAUAACUCGAUUUCUGAUUCAAAGACUCACUAAUCUAGAAAAUUAAUCUCACUGACCAUUAAUGGUGGAUUUAAACCCAACCAAGAAUUAGUAACACCUAAGAAGUUUUGAAUCCGAGACAAUAACGAACGAAUUCUAAAUUGUAUUCGAUAAACAUAAUCUUUUUAUAAUAUUGAUUUGGCAUUAGAGUCUAAAAUAUAUAUAUUUUGAAUGAUCAAAUUGAGCCCAAAAGUGAACUCAAAAAACUUAAAUUACACUUGUGCAAUUCAAAUUCCAACUUCAGAUAAACUAGGUCGUUAAAACAACACCCGUAACUCAUGCACCAACAACCAGUCACUAUCGAGUCUCGGUUCUUGUCCAAAGUUGAUCCAAAUUAUCUUUUGAUAGCACCAUUGUGUCCGUAUUGACAAGCCAAUUCGAAAACAUCAAACACAGUCAUCAAAAUACCUCACACGCGCCCUCACGCGCCACCAACCCUUAGGUGCAUAGGAUCUACUCUCAUUCACGCGCUCCAUGCGCUUCGG